GGUAGUCUUCAUGCCAAGCGCUGAGCCCAAGGCAGGGCUUGAAUUCAGGACCCUGAGAUUAAGAGUUGGAAGCUUGACCAGCUGAGCCACCCAGGCACCAAAGGGUUUCAUUUUUGACUCACUGCUUGAUAUAAGUACAAGAGGUUCCAAGUACAAGAGCCUAGGCGAUGGCCACCCACUAAGGAUUCAGACACAUCUGAGGAGGCUAAUGGGAAGAUGUUUGGGGCCCAAUGAACAAACACCUGAGACUGAAAGCUUGCCUUCAGCAUCCUUCAGCAGUGAAAAGCCAACAUCCAGGUGCUCAAUUAGAUUGGGUAAAAAAACUUACCCUAAGAGAGCAUGAUGGUACAAACUUAAUCAGAGACACUGACUAGGGCUUGUCCAGGAGGAAUGGUUCUCAGCAUAGUAUAAGGCAAUGAUAGUUAAGUGAACUUGAACUUCUGAUUUGGCUGAAAGGAAAACCAAGCCUAAUUCCAAAUUCAGGAAAAGAGAGAUACAGGAGAAGUGUAAGAAAUCUUUAAAAAACAACAAAACGUUUUAGGAGUAUUACAGACACUUGGAUAAAAGGAAGCCUUGUUUAAUGGCCUGAAGACAAGAUGAGAGAAAAGGUGUUUGUUCUCUUCUUUAUUCACUUUACUAUUGUGACCCUGGAAAUGGGAAAACUGUGGAUGACAAUGUCAGUAGUAAGGGAACAACAUGUGCACCAGAAGUUAUGUCAGGAACUCUGACAUUCAUAGGAAUGGAUUGCUACCUGGAUUUUACUGAGGACUGUCUGAAGACUGAGGAUUUUUUAAGGGAGAUUCGCAGUCUGUGAUUUUUUCACCAGGCUUAUGUGUCCUACACAAAAUACCUAGGAAAAGAGUUCCUGGUUUGUGUGAACUGAUCUGUCCCAGGCCUGAGUGAUGAUGAACUGACACCUGAGCCCACAGUACCUGAUUCUCAACUUUGUGCAUAUGGAGCCUGGUGGCCCAGUGUGUCCCCCAUAAGUCCCUGCCUGUGACCGUGACUGUCCCUCCACCACUGCCAACAGCAGAAGGAUCUUUUGGAGCCUGGACACACACAUGGUGGGGCCACCUGCACAUGCGCAGUGCAGCCUGCAAGCACCUGCCCAAGCAGGUGGGCACCUCAGCAGAGCAACCCAUCUUCUUGGAGCUAUCGGUUCCCAGCGCUGCACUCCUGAUGUGCAGCUGGCACAGGGAAGGUCAUUUGCAUCAGACCCCUUCUGGCCAUGACCAGGAAAGAUACACAGGACCUCAGUGGGUCUCCCAAGUAUCUGUCAUCAGCGGACUUCCCAUAGAUGGCAUAGCUAAGGACUUCUGGUGAGAUCCUGCCUUAUGGAGUUGAUCAAAACACUGAAUACUCUUGAAAAAAAUGGCCCAACGGUCCAUCUUGUAGUAGUUCCAAAUAAUGGAAAAGCUGACAAGAAACAUGUGCUGAAUACUUAUGGCUUCAAGCAGUUGUAUCCUGACUCCAUGUUUCCAUUGCUUUUCCUUCACUUAUACUUCUGCUAUGGUAAGUUUUAAGUUUAAUUUUGUUGCUCACAUGGCUGGCCAGUGGAAGAAAGUUUCCAUAUUGAAGUCUGAAACCAAUAGCUGAUGGGUGUUGUAGUAAAGCAUGCCUUAUUGCUAUUAUUACAUUUUUGUAUGAUUUUUUUUUUGCUCUUUAUUUACCACCCAAACCCUAGUCUAUUACCUUUCUCUAAGAUCGUUUUCAGCUUUUCCUUUUCACAUAAUUAUAGAAUGUGACUUUUUAUAAUUUCUUUAGUUUCUCAUUUUUUUCUUAUGUUCUGGAAGGUUUUUUUUUUUUAAAGCC